rnacentral:misc_RNA from 1 species
GAUGAAGAAGCAGCGAAAUGCGAUACGUAGUGUGAAUUGCAGAAUUCAGUGAAUCAUCGAAUCUUUGAACGCACAUUGCACCUCUCGGUAUUCCGGGAGGUAUGCCUGUUCGAGCGUCAUUUGUACCCUCAAGCUCUGCUUGGUGUUGGGUGUUUGUUCCGCCUCUGUGUGUGAACUCGCCUCAAAACAAUUGGCAGCCGGCGUACUUGUUUCGGAGCGCAGCACAUUUUGCGAUCCAGAUCAACGUACAGCGGCAUCCAAGAAGCCUUAUUUAACGCUCUUGACCUCGGAUCAGGUAGGGAUACCCGCUGAACUUAAGCAUAUCAAUAAGCGGAGGA